UAACACUCCACCUGGGGUUCUGCUCCCAAGCCGCUGCUUUUCGCAACCUUCAACUCGUUGGAUGACUUCUCUCCAGGAGUUCAAUUCAAGCUUGACAAAAUGAACAAGGGAAGAACUGGAUAACCUGAGAAUGUAUGCACUGUUGUGUCUCGGGAGCAGCUUCAGGAAGGACUGGUCCUGAAAAAGGAAAGGUGUCUCUUGAGAAGGAAGGGUAAUUAUAGACUAGCUGCCAAUUUUUCUACACUGGCCAGUCACAGCUAUACAAAUUUCAUUCAGGCUACCAUGGGGGCUCAAAGCUUAAAAACCAUAACUUUACGUCCCCUAGGAGACAAUCAUUAAGGCUUAAGGCACUCAGUGCCAUUUAUGAAGCAGAAGUUGUCAAUAUUGCAAAUUUACGUACAAAGCAUCAGCAGCAAUUUAAUGGAGGAAACUGUUCUACUGUAGCCAAGCGAAUCAAAGUUGAGGUGCUUGAGCCUGAAGAAGGUAACUGUACUUCCAAAUCAAAUGAACAUGUUAAUGAUCCCACUGAGUGCAGCUAUCCU